AAAGACCUCAAAUCUUUUGAUGUACGACUCAGAAUUCUUCGAAACAGCGUCUGCUCUAGAAAUUCAGUGUUUUCUCGAAGCUUCAUUACUAUUUUCUAGGGAAAAAUUUAGAAGUUAUUUUGUCUAUUGUGUUGUGUUUUCUUAGAUUUAAAGUCGAUGUUUUACUCUUAAUAAAGAGGAGAGAGCGGUGAUAAUGAUGAUGAAAGAUGAUUCCAUAGAACAAUCCAACUCUGACCAUCAUUGAUGAUCUUACCAUCAUGCACUACCAUCUGAAUCUCGCUCUCCCUUAAAUCCUUUUCUUUUAGUAUGAAAUCGUUGAUUUUGUUUUCUCAGAAUCGGAUUUUGUCGGAUCUUUUAGUUUUGUCUCAAUUUGCCUUAAAUCGAUUGAGAAAAAUUCAUCAUUGGUUGAUUUGGUUCUAAGUAUUUCAUACCAAAGUUCUGAUUGUUAUUUCUGUUGUUAAAUUGAUUUGGUAUUUUUUUCUUCGUUUGCGUUCAUAAGUCAUAAUGCAGAUUUAACUCAUAUCAACAGGUUGAUAUUCAAUAGCAAAAAUUUGGCCUGAAAGAAGGAAAAGUAAUCCCCUCAGAAUUCAAUUCUCAUGGACUAAAUUAAUCUAGAAACGUAAUUGUAACAAUUGUCUAGAACUAUUUUGAUGGUAGUUAUUCCGAAAACGAUUAGUUCUGCAACAUGAACACUCAUCUUAAUUAAUCACUUUCGCAGAUAAUCGCAAAAUAAGUUAUAAAUCCAUAAAAUUAUGAAAGAUAUUCUGAUUUGUGUCGAUGAGGUUCACACAGAUGUGGUAUUUGAGGAUGACUUUUAGAAAAGGAUUUUAUUUCAUUGGAACUCAGAAAAUAAUGUAAACUGGGCC